UACGGGAGGCAGCAGUGGGGAAUAUUGCACAAUGGGCGCAAGCCUGAUGCAGCCAUGCCGCGUGUAUGAAGAAGGCCUUCGGGUUGUAAAGUACUUUCAGCGAGGAGGAAGGCGGUGAGGUUAAUAACCUCAUCGAUUGACGUUACUCGCAGAAGCGGCACCGGCUAACUCCGUGAAAGCAGCCGCGGU
rnacentral:rRNA from 1 species